rnacentral:misc_RNA from 1 species
GAUGAAGAACGUAGCGAAAUGCGAUAAGUAAUGUGAAUUGCAGAAUUCAGUGAAUCAUCGAAUCUUUGAACGCACAUUGCGCCCGCCAGUAUUCUGGCGGGCAUGCCUGUUCGAGCGUCAUUUCAACCAUCAAGCCCCAGGCUUGUGUUGGGGACCUGCGGCUGCCGCAGGCCCUGAAAACCAGUGGCGGGCUCGCUGUCACACCGGGCGUAGUAGAUUUUAUCUCGCUCAGGGCGUGCUGCGGGUUCCGGCCGUUAAAAAGCCUUUUUUACCCAAGGCUGACCUCGGAUCAGGUAGGAAGACCCGCUGAACUUAAGCAUAUCAAUAAGCGGAGGA